CAAUAGCGUAUAUUAAAGCUGUUGCGGUUAAAAAGCUCGUAGUUGGAUUUCUGUCAAGGACAACUGGUCCGCCCUCCGGGUGAGCACAUAGUUUGGUCUUGGCAUCUUGUUCAAAACUGUUACUGCGCUUGGUUGUGUGGUGCAGUUUUGGGCACUUUCACUUUGAGGAAAUUGGAGUGUUUCAAGCAGGCACAUGCCUUUGGACACAGUAGCAUGGAAUAAUUAGAUUGGGCUUUUGCUCCAACUUGUCGGUUCCUGGAGCUGAGGUGAGAAUCAAUGGGGAUUGUUGGGGACAUCUGAAUUUAGCCGUCAGAGGUGAAAUUCUUGGAUCUGCUAAAGACGGACAACUGCGAAAGCGUUUGCCCAGGAUGUUUUCAUUGA
rnacentral:rRNA from 1 species